AUUGAACGCUGGCGGCAGGCCUAACACAUGCAAGUCGAACGGUAACAGGAAGAAGCUUGCUUCUUUGCUGACGAGCGGCGGACGGGUGAGUAAUGUCUGGGAAACUGCCUGAUGGAGGGGGAUAACUACUGGAAACGGUUGCUAAUACCGCAUAACGUCGCAAGACCAAAGAGGGGGACCUUCGGGCCCCUUGCCAUCGGAUGUGCCCAGAUGGGAUUAGCUAGUAGGUGGGGUAACGGCUCACCUAGGCGACGAUCCCUAGCUGGUCUGAGAGGAUGACCAGCCACACUGGAACUGAGACACGGUCCAGACUCCUACGGGAGGCAGCAGUGGGGAAUAUUGCACAAUGGGCGCAAGCCUGAUGCAGCCAUGCCGCGUGUAUGAAGAAGGCCUUCGGGUUGUAAAGUACUUUCAGCGGGGAGGAAGGGAGUAAAGUUAAUACCUUUGCUCAUUGACGUUACCCGCAGAAGAAGCACCGGCUAACUCCGUG
rnacentral:rRNA from 1 species